AUUGAACGCUGGCGGCAGGCCUAACACAUGCAAGUCGAACGGUAACAGGAAGAAGCUUGCUUCUUUGCUGACGAGUGGCGGACGGGUGAGUAAUGUCUGGGAAACUGCCUGAUGGAGGGGGAUAACUACUGGAAACGGUAGCUAAUACCGCAUAACGUCGCAAGACCAAAGAGGGGGACCUUCGGGCCUCUUUCCAUCGGAUGUGCCCAGAUGGGAUUAGCUAGUAGGUGGGGUAACGGCUCACCUAGGCGACGAUCCCUAGCUGGUCUGAGAGGAUGACCAGCCACACUGGAACUGAGACACGGUCCAGACUCCUACGGGAGGCAGCAGUGGGGAAUAUUGCACAAUGGGCGCAAGCCUGAUGCAGCCAUGCCGCGUGUAUGAAGAAGGCCUUCGGGUUGUAAAGUACUUUCAGCGGGGAGGAAGGGAGUAAAGAUAAUCCCUUUACUCAUUGACGUUACCCGCAGAAGAAGCACCGGCUAACUACGUG
rnacentral:rRNA from 1 species